GACGAACUGUGCGAACGUUAUUCGGAAUCACUGGGCUUACAGGGUGCGUAGGCGGCUUGUUAAGUAGGGUGUGAAAUCCCCCGGCCCAACCGGGGAAUGGCGCUCUAAACUAGCAGGCUUGAGUGAGCUAGGGGUGCACGGAACUUCCAGUGGAGCGGUGAAAUGUGUUGAUAUUGGAAGGAACACCGGAGGCGAAAGCGGUGCACUGGGGCUUAACUGACGCUGAGGCACCAAAGCCAGGGGAGCGAACGGG
rnacentral:rRNA from 1 species